CGCCCGUCGCUGCCGCCCCCGCCACCUCCCGUCGCGGGCAGGCGGGAGGAGCCCUGCCCGGCCAUGGCGACACCGCCGGCGGCCUCCUCCUCCCCCUCACCUUCUCUCCCUCUCCCAAGGGAGGGAAGGGAAUGGAAGGGAUCUGAUUGGAGCGGUGGAUCUGCGCCCUUGCCAUCUCUUCUUUUCUUCACCGAUUCCAGGAGGAGAUCGAAGUGGGAGGUAGACGAACAGGAGCGCCGAGUCCGCGAUAGCGAUGAGCGACGACCCAGGUUCUCCUCUCCCAUGGCAGGGGUCGGCGAGUGGCAACAGAUGCGGGACACCAACUGGUGGCGCAACGGACAGCGAGAGGCAGGACACCAACUGGGCGCGCCUCUCGCGGCCGACUUCCACAGCGGCGACGUCGUUUACCUUGGCGCCUGCUUCUUUCCGACUCAGCGAUCCCCGCGGGCACUGAUGGACGGCGACGGGCAGCACGUGCGGCCGCGGAGCCGCGCGCUCCUGACCGACGACGAGGAUGACGGGACGUACGCGAGCGACGUGUACAACGGCAACCUCGCCGCCACGGGCGGGUUUCGUGCUGGCCGGAUCUUGGGGCGGUAGCAGUACUUGGUGCAGCGCCGCCGCGGCGACUACGGCAGCGUCGGGGUCGUCGUCGUCCUCAUCCGCACAGGGAAGCUGGACUGGGAGGUUUGCUGCUUCCGGUCAGCAGACGAUGGCUAUGACGCUAUGCCCAGCACGAGUGCUAACGCCAUCACGGCCGGCACCACUGGCACCAGCAGCCGUUCGGUGUGCUCUCCGGGAUGCUGCGGUCGAAGGGUCGAGCAGGAGCUAUGGAUGCCAGCAAACAAGCCUGUGCAGACAGCAAUGCAUCAAUCAAAUCGGAUGGAGAACAUCACACAACAGCCUUUCUCCAGGACAUAAAGAAAAUGGUGGCACUUUGGGUUUUGAAGACGCCGCCCAGCGUAGGAUUACGAACAUGGGACGCUCGGUCGAGUUUUUCUUAACUCGUCAGGAUUCUCAUGCUGCAAAUUUAGUAACGGGGCAAAUUUUUGGGUGUACGUCCUGAUGUGUUUGUGGAUUGAUGAAAAUUUGGCGAGGGAGGUCAUAAACCAUCGCUCGCUGCAGCACAUCAAUUGUUGAAUUCGUUCGAAUGAGAUGUCAAUUGUUGAAUUCGCUUGAAGGAGAUGGAGCUCGUUUGGCUGAAUUUGCUACUGAGUUGCCACAUUUGAGGGCCUGCAAUUGAAGAAUACAACACUUGAGAUAACAAUUGAAGAAUACUAGAGUAAUAAUAACUACUGCAAGAGUGAUGUAUUUUCUUUUUGUUGGAGAUUUUCUGCAUCUUUUAUGGACGGUAACAUUUUAGAUAACAAUUUGAUGUGCUAACCAUCAAGAUCAACUUCGACAUGUUUGGUCUCUAAAAGUUACUAUUGACCAUCAUUGGUGCAUCCUAUAAGAAGGGGAAAAUAAAGCAUUAAUGUGGAGUAUGUUCCAAUGGAAAUCUUCAGGAACACCUUGAAGGUCUGAGUGCAAUUUUUCUUUAGUUCUUUGUGAGCUUAAAAAUGCAACUGAUGUGGCCCAUGCAACUGAGAUUAAAAACAUGGAGAAGAAUCAUAAAAGAUCUUGCUGAAAAUGCCCUCGUUCCGCACUUCGUGUGGACAGGCAGCGCCCUUUACCUUCGAAGUCUCGAAAAAUGGGCUGGGUGAUGCGGGUGCCUCAAUGCUUGAUGCCAUGUUCUGUAAGAGGCCAAGGUACUAUAUUUUGUCCCUGAUGCAUAACCUGCAUUGGUUUUUUGUAAACUGUCCUUUUAGAGGCAAUGAUGAAAAUGAUUUUUGUGCAUGAAACAACAAACCAGUUCAGUCUUUUUUAUGCAGAGAUCAAAUUGAUUUUUGUGCAUAAAAUUCUUUUGGGGGCUCUCAUUUGGUUUUAUGUGCUUUUUUCUUACCAGAUAGAAGAUACUUAAUGUUGGUAUCCCAGAGUUUUACUUACUA